rnacentral:rRNA from 1 species
AGAAUCAACGCUGGCGGCGUGCCUAACACAUGCAAGUCGCACGAGAAAGGGGAGCAAUCCCUGAGUACAGUGGCGCACGGGUGAGUAACACGUGAAUAAUCUACCUUCGAGUGGGAAUAACUGAGAGAAAUCUUAGCUAAUACCGCAUAACACUUACGAGUCAAAGCAGCAAUGCGCUUGGAGAGGAGUUCGCGGCCGAUUAGUUAGUUGGCGGGGUAAUGGCCCACCAAGACGAUGAUCGGUAU